AUACGGAGGGGGUUAGCGUUGUUCGGAAUCACUGGGCGUAAAGGACGCGUAGGCGGGUUGGCAAGUCAGAUGUGAAAUCCUACAGCUUAACUGUAGAACUGCAUUUGAAAUUGCUAACCUAGAGUAUGGGAGGGGGAGAUGGAAUUAGUGGUGUAGGGGUAAAAUCCGUAGAUAUCACUAGGAAUACCGAAAGCGAAGGCGAUCUCCUGGAACAUAACUGACGCUAAGGCGUGAAAGCGUGGGGAGCAAACAGGAUUAGAAACCCUAGUAGUCC
rnacentral:rRNA from 1 species